AUUGAACGCUGGCGGUAGGCCUAACACAUGCAAGUCGAACGCGAAAGUCCUUCGGGAUGAGUAGAGUGGCGGACGGGUGUGUAACGCGUAGGAAUCUGUCCUGUAGUGGGGGAUAACGUUUCGAAAGGAACGCUAAUACCGCAUACGCCCUACGGGGGAAAGCGGGGGAUCUUCGGACCUCGUGCUAUAGGAGGAGCCUGCGUCGGAUUAGCUAGUUGGUGAGGUAAAGGCUCACCAAGGCGACGAUCCGUAGCUGGUCUGAGAGGAUGAUCAGCCACACCGGAACUGAGACACGGUCCGGACUCCUACGGGAGGCAGCAGUGGGGAAUAUUGCGCAAUGGGCGAAAGCCUGACGCAGCCAUACCGCGUGUGUGAAGAAGGCCUUCGGGUUGUAAAGCACUUUCAGUGGGGAGGAAAAGCUGGUGGCUAAUAUCCAUCGGCCGUGACGCUACCCACAGAAGAAGCACCGGCUAAUUCCGUGCCAGCAGCCGCAGUAACAC
rnacentral:rRNA from 1 species